rnacentral:misc_RNA from 1 species
GAAAUGCGAUACGUAGUGUGAAUUGCAGAAUUCCGUGAACCAUCGAAAUUUUGAACGCAAAUUGCGCCCGCGUCCUCGGACAAGGGCAUGUCUGCCUCAGCGUCGGCGUACCCCCUCUUGCACACCCUCGUGUGCGCAAGGACCUGGCCCCCUCGAGCCUAAACACUCGGGCCGGCUGAAGCACAGAUCGCUUGAGCAGGGACACCGCUCAAGGACGAUGGCUUGGUAGGUAGGCACCCCCUACACCGCCUGCCGUCGUCCAGGUGCCCCAGCUGGAAGCAGUCACCUUGGGCUUUGGAGCUAUCCAAAGAUCUACCCAAACCUCUACACCUUCGACCUGAGCUCAGGCAAGACCACCCGCUGAACUUAA